rnacentral:rRNA from 1 species
AAUCAACGCUGGCGGCGUGCCUAACACAUGCAAGUCGAACGCGAAAGCCCGCAAGGGUAAGUAGAGUGGCGCACGGGUGAGUAACACGUGGACAACCUGCCUUCGAGUGGGGAAUAACCUUCCGAAAGGAGGGCUAAUACCGCAUAACACCUCGGGACACAAGUUCUGGGGUUGAAAAGAGCAAUUUGCUCGAAGAGGGGUCCGGGCCUGAUUAGCUAGUUGGUGAGGUAACGGCUCACCAAGGCUCGAUCAGUAGCCGUCCUGAGAGGGAGCACGGCCACACUGGAACUGAGACACGGUCCAGACUCCUACGGGAGGCAGCAGUGGGGAAUUUUUGGCAAUGGGCGAAAGCCUGACCAAGCAACGCCGCGUGGGUGAUGAAGUAUCUUGGUACGUAAAACCCUUUCGGCAGGGACGAACCUAAUGACGGUACCUGCGGAAGAAGCCCCGGCUAACUCCGUGCCAGCCGCCGCAGUAAC